ACGAUCUUACUUGAACAUGAUCUGUUUUAUUGGAUCGUACUACUGUGUCUUUGAUUUUUAAGGAGACCAAAACAUAAAUCUCGACGAUGAAUCAUGACCGUGUGAUCAGAGCAUCAUUAAUGAUUCUGUAGUGACAUCUUUUGGGUGUCAUCGUAAGAUAUUGUAGAUGAUCAUUCUCUAGCACAAUUUAAUUAAGUUGCGACACGAUUGUCUAACAGAUU